GUGGUUCUUAACCCCGAGAGCGCAGGGAUAGACACUCGAAGUGAUUGGUUGUUGUAGAAAAUGUUUUGGACAGUGUAUAGAGCUCCUGAUAUAUUGACGAUUGGGAAGCCAUCGUGAGAGCAGAACACAGAGUGAUUCUUGUUAGAAGAAGGAAGAAGAUUAUUAUGUACGAGCGAAUAACAAGGGGAAAAGAAUAAAAGGAACUGAAGGUGGGUAAGAGUGUUCUUUGUUUCAUUUGGAAUGGUUCAAGUUAAAGGCUGAGAGACGGUGGAGUUUGGAGAGGAAAGGUUUUGGGGGUAGGCUUGGCUAUUCUGGAUAAAAUUGAUUCUGGAUUGGAUGUUGAUGCACUUAGGGGGUGUGUGGUUGGAGGAAUAUUAGAGCAAUAGAGCAUUCCCAGGAAUGUUUAGAUGAGAAUAUCUUAUUCUCAUGUUUGUUUCAAAGUUUUAAAAUAUAUUCCCAGGUAAGUUUUAUUCCUUGGAAUCAAAAUCCUCCUGAUUUAAUUCCCAUCUACCCCAUGGUUAUCUUUGAUUCCAAUGAGAAGGGAAUGUGUAUAACAAAGUAAAAAGACUAAAAUACCCUUGUUAAUUUCACUCCAACCCUUCUUUUCAGAUUUUUUCCAAUUCAUUUCAAACAAAAUGAAACCCUAGCAGAGAGCCCCUCCUCCAUGAAAACCAAUCCCUAACGAGGCUUUUCUUCAAAUUCUUCAAAUUCCCACCGGCGUCGGCGCCGCCUCGCCGCCGAUUUGGAUUUGCAUGGCCACCACGCUUCUUAUUCUAGAAGGAAAUCGUUCUCGUUUGUGUUCGUCAUCACAGCUCAUCUCGGUUCACCGCCACUGCGUUUUCGCCGCCAUCAUCGCGACUCUGUUCAGAUCCUCUGCGUUGUGUGGUUGUGCGUGGCCUCUCUCCUCCGUCUGAGCUCGGUUGCUCGCGCGUCUCUCGCCUCUGCGUCUGCUCGAGUUGUGCUUCGUGUUCGUGUUGUCUCCCUCGCCUCUCUCCCUCCUCGCAUCUUCCUGUUCCUGUUCAUCUUUUUCAAGAACAGUGUAUUACACUGGUAGAUCCACUGUCUGCUCAUAAUGCUUUUGCUGAUAUCACUCUGUGAAAAUGUGAGAAGGACACACAAACAGGACUUCAUGCUUUUCUACUUCUCAAACAAUUAAAUCAAGUGAAGUAUAUCAAAUUUGAGGGUUCUGAGAAUGAAUUCCAAACAGAA